CCUACGGGAGGCUGCAGUGGGGAAUAUUGCACAAUGGGGGAAACCCUGAUGCAGCAACGCCGCGUGAGUGAAGAAGUAUUUCGGUAUGUAAAGCUCUAUCAGCAGGGAAGAAAAUGACGGUACCUGAGUAAGAAGCCCCGGCUAACUACGUGCCAGCAGCCGCGGUAAUACGUAGGGGGCAAGCGUUAUCCGGAUUUACUGGGUGUAAAGGGAGCGUAGACGGCGAUACAAGUCUGAAGUGAAAGCCCGGGUCUCAACCCCGGGACUGCUUUGGAAACUGUGUUGCUGGAGUGCUGGAGAGGCAAGCGGAAUUCCUAGUGUAGCGGUGAAAUGCGUAGAUAUUAGGAAGAACACCAGUGGCGAAGGCAGCAUACCGGCGCCCAACUGACGCUGAAGCACGAAAGCGUGGGUAUCGAACAGGAUUAGAUACCCUGGUAGUC
rnacentral:rRNA from 1 species